GCCGUAAUAGCUUAGUUGGGAGAGCGUUAGACUGAAGAUCUAAAGGUCCCCGGUUCGAUCCCGGGUUUCGGCA
rnacentral:tRNA from 1 species